rnacentral:rRNA from 1 species
AUUGAACGCUGGCGGCAUGCCUUACACAUGCAAGUCGAACGGUAACAGGCCGCAGGGUGCUGACGAGUGGCGAACGGGUGAGUAAUGCAUCGGAACGUGCCCAGUCGUGGGGGAUAACUGCUCGAAAGAGCAGCUAAUACCGCAUACGACCUGAGGGGGAAAGCGGGGGACCGUAAGGCCUCGCGCGAUUGGAGCGGCCGAUGUCAGAUUAGCUAGUUGGUGGGGUAAAGGCCUACCAAGGCAACGAUCUGUAGUUGGUCUGAGAGGACGACCAGCCACACUGGGACUGGGACACGGCCCAGACUCCUACGGGAGGCAGCAGUGGGGAAUUUUGGACAAUGGGCGCAAGCCUGAUCCAGCAAUGCCGCGUGCAGGAAGAAGGCCUUCGGGUUGUAAACUGCUUUUGUCAGGGAAGAAAUCCUCUGGGUUAAUACCUCGGGGGGAUGACGGUACCUGAAGAAUAAGCACCGGCUAACUACGUGCCAGCCGCCGCCGUAAAAC